AUUGAACGCUGGCGGCAGGCCUAACACAUGCAAGUCGAGCGGAGCGGCGGACGGGUGAGUAAUGCCUAGGAAUCUGCCUGGUAGUGGGGGAUAACGUCCGGAAACGGGCGCUAAUACCGCAUACUAUCAGAUGAGCCUAGGUCGGUUUAGCUAGUUGGUGGGGUAAAGGCUUACCAAGGAGACGAUCCGUAACUGGUCUGAGAGGACGAUCAGUCACACUUGAACUGAGACACGGUCCAGACUCCUACGGGAGGCAGCAGUGGGGCAUAUUGGACAAUGGGGGAAAGCCUGAUCCAGCCAUGCCGCGUGUGUGAAGAAGGUCUUCGGAUUGUAAAACACUUUAAGUUGGGAGGCGUUACCUACAGAAUAAGCACCGGCUAACUUCGUGCCAGCAGCCGCGGUAAUAC
rnacentral:rRNA from 1 species